AACGAUGAUAUUAUUAGCUAACUAGCUACAGUGCAGGCUAACUCAAAUGAGAUAAUACAUGAGCUAUCUAGACAACUUCAAAUACUGCAUAGAUAGCUAGCUAAGUGAAUUAAAUAUCACCAGCUACCUAACUUCAUAUUAGCUAGCUAUCUUGAUGUAUUUAUCACUGUAAAAAACAAACUCCAAAUGCAUUUGUAGGUAGCUAGCUAACAGCCAUGGAGGAGGGUGAAAGGAUAGCAGCCCCAACUGUCAGUGAGAGAGGAUACGGCAGGUACUUUUGUGUAGUUCCUGGCCCUACAAGUGAGGACGGAGAUACUAGGAACAAAAUAUUCAGUGUGGUGUAAUUUGACUAGAAUGAAGUCUGUUUCUUGUGAGGUUUUCUAUCCUCAGAUAAAGAGCGCUACGAAAGCCAGUCUACAUAUGAAGAGGUCCCAAUGAAGAGCAGUGGUUCUCAGUCCUGGGGACUCAAAGAGGCACAUUGUUGUUUUUGCCUCAGCACUGCACAGCUGAUUCAAAUGACCAACUCAUCAUCAAACUUCAAGUGCUAUUUAUGUAUUCAUUUGUGGUGCUAUCCUUGAUAUGAUCCUGUUAUUGUCACAUGCUACACAUGUACAUAUGUGUGUCCAUGCAUCUAUCAAUCCAAUGUUGUCAUGAUUAUCAGGGAUAUGAUACUUUAGUAAUCCACAAUGACCUGGUGAUGUAACAGUCUAAUAAUUACAUUGUCUUCCAUAUUCCUACAGAUACCUUGUAACUGGAGAUUCCUUCUAAACGAUUGCCUACAGUUACCGUGUAGGGCGCGGCAAGGUUGGGUGACCAGGGUCUUCUGGGACUGCCUCCUGAAGGAAUUCAGGUGUGUGAAGGCUACCGUGAAGAAUAGUUAUAUCAGCUGUGUCAGUGAACCCCUCCUUCAUCUGAACUGGCUACAUAGAGGGCACAGCAUGAUCAGAUGUGAGCGGUCACUUGGUCAGGAACGUUCACUGAUUAACACUACUGCACGGUUUCUCUCCUGUGUGUAUUCUCCCUUGUGAUAUCAGGGUGCUUACUCAGAGCAGCAAUGAGAUUUCUUUCCCGUGGGUCUCUGCUGGUGUUUCUUGAGGAAUUCUGAUCUGGAGCGACUCUUCUCUGCCUUGUCAGCAUCAUGAGGUUGUUGAGUCUCCCAAGAGGACCCAUGGUAGUCAGUUCUCUC